UACGUAGGGGGCAAGCGUUGUCCGGAAUUAUUGGGCGUAAAGCGCGUGUAGGCGGCUCGGUAAGUCUGCUGUGAAAGUCCAGGGCUCAACCCUGGAAUGCCGGUGGAUACUGUCGAGCUAGAGUCCGGAAGAGGCGAGUGGAAUUCCUGGUGUAGCGGUGAAAUGCGCAGAUAUCAGGAGGAACACCGAUGGCGAAGGCAGAUCUCUGGGCCGUAACUGACGCUGAGGAGCGAAAGCGUGGGGAGCGAACAGG
rnacentral:rRNA from 1 species